CACACUUCCCUCUGGACACCUCCUGUACCCAAAGGGGCAGGGAGCAUGACCACCUGACAUACAGUCUGUUCCACAUGUUUGGUGGAUUUUUUGUGGACCCCUUGAUGCCAUUCAUUAGAGACCACUGGGGAGCCCACGAGCCUUUGGAGUCAAAAGAAAGAAAAAACAAAGAACUUAGAAGACUGACUUAACCUCUCUGAGCUUCAUUUUAUUCUUCUUUAAGAUGCCCAUCGCCCAUCUGUUUGUGGAAUAGCAAGUGGGAGAUGAUGCAGUGUGGCUGCAUCAUGACUGCUGCUCUCCUUGCUUGGCGUUGACACCUUGUGCCCUGAUGGAGCCCCACACAAACCAACCUUUAAUGUAUCUGCAACCGCUGUUAGGAGUUGGGGACAAGACCUCUCCCUGUCCUCUAUCCUCUAUAGAGAUGGAGAAGAAGCAAGGUGUGGACGCUGGUAGAAUCUCCAAGAAAGAGCCAAGUACUCCCUCCGCCUUCCAUGGUGGUCCCCUUUCUGACCCUUUGGCUCCUAAUGGAGAGAGGGCAUGGUGAUGAUCUCCCUGGGAAGUAUUGAGAUCUGAGACUAGAAGAGAUCCAUGCUCAGCUUCAGGUCUGGAUGCACCUGCCAGAUGCUGAGUCCGAAAGAGCUCCUCAGCCCUACACAGCAUGAGAUAGCUGAUUGUGGUCUCCCAAAUCUCCAUCUUCUUGAUGUGGCAAGAUUGAAAGUGGUACUGGAAGUAGUGAUAUUUUUCAACAACUCCUGAAGGCUCAGUUGAAAGCUUGAUUCUCCAGUCCUUUCAGUUAUGUUGCCCUCAAGAGACUGGAUGAGGCUCACUCACCAUGGAGAAGGCAACCUGCUUUAUUCAGUCCACCAAUCCAAAUGUUUGUCUCAUCCAGAAGCUACCCUUACAGACACACCCAAAAUAAUGUUUAACCAACUAUCUGGGUAUCUCAUGGUCCAUUCAAGUUGACAGAUAAAAUUAACCAUCACACUAUAUCAUUAAAUUAAAUGUGCAUUUAUUUAAAGAAAACCAAGUGUUUGACACCAUGUAAUUGACUUUAUAUAACCUUAAUUUGAACUCAGAAGGACUUCCUGAUAAUGCAAGAAAAUAGAAAUCUAUUUAUUAGUGACUGGUUCUAUCUAUAAGUCCAAGCUACGGAGAAAAUUUAAAAAAUAAAGAAGCU
rnacentral:lncRNA from 1 species